UACGAAGGGGGGCUAGCGUUGUUCGGAAUUACUGGGCGUAAAGCGCGCGCAGGCGGUUUUGUAAGUCUGUCGUGAAAUCCCCGGGCUCAACCUGGGAAUUGCGAUGGAGACUGCAAGGCUAGAAUCUGGCAGAGGGGGGGUAGAAUUCCACGUGUAGCAGUGAAAUGCGUAGAGAUGUGGAGGAACACCGAUGGCGAAAGGGCAGCCCCC
rnacentral:rRNA from 1 species